CUUUAUGUUAUUGGCAGGUUAAUUUUAUUGUUUGAGUUUAAAUGUAAGGUUGUUAAAUUGGAAAGGACAGAUGUUAUCAAAAAAUGAGUUGCACUCUAAACUAUUGCAGAUGGACUGCAGAGAGUUUG